rnacentral:rRNA from 1 species
UACGGGGGGGGCAAGCGUUGUUCGGAAUUACUGGGCGUAAAGGGCUCGUAGGCGGCCAACUAAGUCGGACGUGAAAUCCCUCGGCUUAACCGGGGAACUGCGUCCGAUACUGGAUGGCUUGAGUUCGGGAGAGGGAUGCGGAAUUCCAGGUGUAGCGGUGAAAUGCGUAGAUAUCUGGAGGAACACCGGUGGCGAAGGCGGCAUCCUGGACCGACACUGACGCUGAGGAGCGAAAGCCAGGGGAGCAAAACGGGG